rnacentral:misc_RNA from 1 species
UGGGUUUAGAAGUAGUGAGUUUGUGGAGAAGGUUAAAUUGAGCCUGAGAUCAAUGUGCGUGGACAUCCAAGAAUCAAAGGAAGUGCCACCAUUGGACUUUCCUGAACUUUUAGCGUAUCUCGUCAAGCAAUCUGUGCCAUUGUUCGAUCAACUUGGCAUAAAACGAGAUGUAUCGGAGAAGAUAUUAGAGGCUUUAUGCAGUAAACGCAAAGAUCAGCUCACAAGCCAUUCACUUGCAG